CGCGUAGGCGGCCUGGUAAGUCAGAUGUGAAAGCCCGGGGCUUAACCCCGGAAGUGCAUUUGAUACUGUCAGGCUUGAGUAUGGGAGAAGGAAGUGGAAUUCCUGGUGUAGAGGUGAAAUUCGUAGAUAUCAGGAGGAACACCGGUGGCGAAGGCGACUUCCUGGACCAAUACUGACGCUGAGGCGCGAAGGCGUGGGGAGCAAACAGGAUUAGAUACCCUGGUAGUCC
rnacentral:rRNA from 1 species